CUUAUGGUUGUUUUCACUUUAUUUCCUAGGACUUAAAAGUCAAACUCAGGUCUUACACCAGCAAGAUAUUCAGAGCUGAUAUUUCACAGCUGUGUUAACUGUUUCUCAGAUUUGGACUCCUAGCCAAUUGUAGAGGCAAGAAAGAAGGGGAACAUAGAAGAAGGAGACCAAAAAGUCUGAAGGACAGUGAUUGCAGAAGAAGAAGAAAUUAUUCUAGAAAAUCAAGAGCAGAGUUUAUUGAGGACAAGAAAGAAAACAAGACAGCAGGUAAAGAAAGAAGUAAAAUCAGAAUGAGAGCAAGUGAAUUGUCCUUUUCUUCACAUGAAGUAUUCAGUGUAAAAUAUCAUUCUAUAACACAAUAUUCCUCA
rnacentral:lncRNA from 1 species